rnacentral:rRNA from 1 species
UAACACAUGCAAGUCGAACGAUGAUAGAGAGCUUGCUUUCUUGAUUAGUGGCGCACGGGUGAGUAAUGCAUAGAUAAUGUGCCCUUAGUUCGGGAUAGCCACUGGAAACGGUGAUUAAUACCGGAUACUCCUUCUUGUUAUAAGACAAGUCGGGAAAGUUUUUCGCUAAGGGAUCAGUCUAUGUUCCAUCAGCUUGUUGGUGAGGUAAUGGCUCACCAAGGCUAUGACGGAUAUCUGGUUUGAGAGGAUGAUCAGACACACUGGAACUGAGACACGGUCCAGACUCCUACGGGAGGCAGCAGUGAGGAAUAUUGCACAAUGGAGGAAACUCUGAUGCAGCAACGCCGCGUGGAGGAUGACGCAUUUCGGUGUGUAAACUCCUUUUAUUAGGGAAGAUAAUGACGGUACCUAAUGAAUAAGCACCGGCUAACUCCGUGCCAGCAGCCGCGGUAAUACGGAGGGUGCAAGCGUUACUCGGAAUCACUGGGCGUAAAGGGUGCGUAGGCUGGCUUUUAAGUCAGAUGUGAAAUCCAAUGGCUCAACCAUUGAACUGCAUUUGAAACUGAAAGCCUAGAGUUCAGAAGGGGCAGAUGGAAUUAGUGGUGUAGGGGUAAAAUCCGUAGAUAUCACUAGGAAUAUCAAAAGCGAAGGCGAUCUGCUGGGAUGAUACUGACGCUGAUAACACAUGCAAGUCGAACGAUGAUAGAGAGCUUGCUUUCUUGAUUAGUGGCGCACGGGUGAGUAAUGCAUAGAUAAUGUGCCCUUAGUUCGGGAUAGCCACUGGAAACGGUGAUUAAUACCGGAUACUCCUUCUUGUUAUAAGACAAGUCGGGAAAGUUUUUCGCUAAGGGAUCAGUCUAUGUUCCAUCAGCUUGUUGGUGAGGUAAUGGCUCACCAAGGCUAUGACGGAUAUCUGGUUUGAGAGGAUGAUCAGACACACUGGAACUGAGACACGGUCCAGACUCCUACGGGAGGCAGCAGUGAGGAAUAUUGCACAAUGGAGGAAACUCUGAUGCAGCAACGCCGCGUGGAGGAUGACGCAUUUCGGUGUGUAAACUCCUUUUAUUAGGGAAGAUAAUGACGGUACCUAAUGAAUAAGCACCGGCUAACUCCGUGCCAGCAGCCGCGGUAAUACGGAGGGUGCAAGCGUUACUCGGAAUCACUGGGCGUAAAGGGUGCGUAGGCUGGCUUUUAAGUCAGAUGUGAAAUCCAAUGGCUCAACCAUUGAACUGCAUUUGAAACUGAAAGCCUAGAGUUCAGAAGGGGCAGAUGGAAUUAGUGGUGUAGGGGUAAAAUCCGUAGAUAUCACUAGGAAUAUCAAAAGCGAAGGCGAUCUGCUGGGAUGAUACUGACGCUGA